CACAUAGGAGAGGAUUCAACAAACUGAAUAAUUACAUGGAUCAGAAGCAGACUUCUGAAAUGCUUACGGGGCUAGCUCAAAGAGAAAUGCAAUCAGCAAUGUCAAAUGGGGAUGUACUGGGCUCAAAGGAAUUUAGUGAUGGGACUCCUUAAGACCAGGCUGAUAAGCUUUAGUAUUUUCAUUAAUUUUCAUUCACCCCAUCACAAAGAGUAUGAAUAUGCAUUUACAUAUGUUAAGGAUGCAAAUCUAUUAAGCACCACCAGUACAGAUGACUUUGAAACUUGUGUAAUAAAAAUGGGAUGAAAACAAAGUAUGAAAUGCCAAACCAAAUACUGGGGACUAAUAACAAAAAUUUCUGCCACAAGCCAGGAGCUCGUCAGACUGGGUGUAUGUGUUGCCAGAUGACUGACUGGCAAUGUGAUGCAGCCAUGGAAAAAGGCAAAUGCAAUUGGAGGAUGGGUCUGGUGAGGCAUUUCUGGUAGAAAAUGAGAAAUAUUGUUGCCAUUGCAAGGCUUCACAGCAGGAAUAACUGCACCAGAUCAAGGACGUUUUCCGAGCAUCCCAAGUGCAGUGGAAGGUUACUGAGCUGAUCCAGGGGUACAGAGAAACCUGAUCAAGUGAGAGGAAACUAGAAGAGCUUGUUUUCCACAGCAAAGAGAAGGCUGUGAGGCUGCUCUGUUUCAACAUAACCAUGAUGGAAAAAACAGGGAAGAAGAGCCAUUUCAUUUAGAAGAUGGUGCUGGCAUUAGAACAAAUGGGUAUAAACAGGACAUGGAUACAUUUUGGCUGUAGUUUAGAAGAAGGCUCUCUUACCAAUGAAACAGAAAACUGCUUUUCCUCCACAGGUACUAAAGGCAAAAGGAUUGGCACAAUCCCUCUCAGCAAUACAUAAUUUGUGCGCCUGAAGGCACACAAAAACCAUGAACUGGAUGACCAGGGGAGUGCCUCCACCUUAUUUGUGACUUAUUUCCACUGGUACAAAUGUCCUGCGGAUCUCUCACCCCCUUCUCAACUUAUCUCCAUGUAACACAUAAAACGAGGACCAGAAAACACCCACAGAAGUCAGUUUUCAACCGAGGAGACCUUCCUCCAUUUGCAGAGGAUGGCAUUGGGGACAACUUCAGCAGCAGGUUCCAGUUUAGAUGAUCCUAGUUCCUAUACCAGACACGUUUUCCCCUCUUUCUCCAGCUGUUUUCUAACACAAAAAAAGCAAGGCCAGCCUCUCAGGCAGCAUGUUGUGGUGCUGCUGAGAGUCAUGUAUGUUACGUGGGGAGGUUGUUCGUGGUUGUGGGUAUUUUUGAAAACCCUGCUUUUUUUCUGCCCACCACACCACAGCACAGCUACAGCUUCCUCUUUCGUUGCUUUCCUGUUUCUUUUUUCUCUUCUUCAAGCAACAGGGCAAAUUGAGUCUUUUGAAAGAAGCUUGUGAGAGACGGAUGGUGACAACCACAUUGCCCCUCUUUCCUGUGCCCUCACCUACCACUGCGCCUGGCUCUCCUUUCUCUACACACUGCACUCACGCUGCACCAGCCUGCCAGCAGCAUUCACUACUGUGUACUUACAGGUAUUUUCAUCUGGAUAAACUGCAAAGAAGGAAGGUUUCCUCAUGCGGUUAUAAGAUGGAGGAGAACUGAAAUGGAAAAUGAAAUAAAUCACUCUGUUUUGACUUGUGAGUAAUAACUGCUGAAGCCAACCUUUCCACACAAAAUGCUCCACUGGUUUAUGUGGCCAGGAUGUUUUGCCACCAAAAUCUAGGUGGAGUCAAUUGAAAUCUGUCCUGUGGGUUUUGCGGUACGUUAAUAUGUUUUCUAAAUUUAAUAUACUCCCGGGCAGAAAGCUUGAAUUCCUGAAGAUAGCAACUCCUGUGUUUUUUUCCUUUCUCUCUUCUUUUUUUUUUUUUUUCUUUUCCAAAUAGACCUACAUGGAAAGGUCUCUUACAGGUUUCACUGUUUCCUACCACAGAUUAGUCAAUGAACCUAAAUUUAAUCACUUUGUCCUUUAGUGAGUGGCAUCCUUCUGUGUGUCUGAAAGAGUGAAUGAUCACUAAUGUGAGGAUAAAAAUCCUGAAAAUGAGUGGAUGAAGGAGGAGCAAUCUUGGACAUCUUUUGGAUGUAAAUAAAGACCAAGUGUUGUCAU